ensembl:lncRNA
CUUUUCUUUGAUAACGCAAAAUGGGUUAUUUCAUCAAGGAAUGUGAGGACCCUAAUAGGAAAUGACAACUUGAUAACAGAGGAUAAUAUCACAGCAAGGCUGUGACUAGAUCCAAAAUAUUGAAGAUGGAGGGAAAAGAGCUGUCAAGUGAUUAGAGAGAGAGAGAGAUAAAAAAAGGAAGAAACAUUUGGACAAAACAUGAAAAUCUGCAACAUAUUUAAGCCCUGGAACGUGGAGAUUUCAUAGCCUGUCAAAGUCUGAUGGUGCCUUUAUUGUCCAGAAUAUCUGCCUUUCUUCCUAGAUCAUUGAUGUUUAUACUUGCUUGUGUGCCAGCUGAGCUCCUGUUUUCCACAUCAUAUGGCCACGUCCUGAGGACCAGAUAAAUAGCAGUCAGAAGCUGGAUGCAGGCAUCUGCUGGUCCUUUGUGAGGCCUCCCUUGGCCCAGUGGGUCCCUUCUCAGGACACUAGGAGUUCAAUUGCUCCCACCCACAUGUUUUCCAUGUGUGUUUUUCUUCGCUCACAAGUGUAGUUUUUAUCACAUGCCUAUGCUGCCCUCACAGCAAGAUCUAUGAAGAAAUUACUGGCUAAUAAAAGUUCAUUCUAUUCUCCAGUUGACUUACUUUGAUAGAUAAAACCUUUUGAAGAGUGGAGUUAUUCUUAUAAUAACCAAUUCACUGGAGUGAGAAGAGUGCGGAAUAAAAAUACUGUAUUUGUUGUUCAUAAGCUAAUGAAUGCCAAGUAUAGACAGGGCAGAAAAGUAUCCGUACCAGACUAGGAAACAAUAGAAAGAAAUCUGUCUUUCUGUUCAUGGAGACAGCUAAAGACAACUAGCUUGCUUGCUCUGCUGAUAACAAAUAACACGUCUCCUUAUAGCAGCCACAAAAAUAAAGACCACAACUGUUCUCUUUGGAAUAAAUGAUCCUGCAUUUGAUUAAACAAAUCCCAGACUACGGUAUGUUUAUGGUAAUAGGACAUCUCCUUGUGCUUUUUUUUUUUUUUUUUUUUUUUUUUUUUUUUAAUGAAGACAUUCAUGCAGAUUUUUAAUGAAG